rnacentral:lncRNA from 1 species
GGUUCGGCUCAUCUGCAGUCACGUUAUUACUGCACGGGUACUGUACCAACCCAGAUCAGCCAUUCAUUUAAAUCUCACGGCUCUCAUUACCCCCACCCGAUUCUGUUAAUAGAUGGAAACAAACACCUAAUUAUGUGGUAGAAAAUCUUGUACGGUUGCAAGAUUGGCGCCAAACAGAACCACGAAGACUCACAUUGGCGCCAAACAGAACCACGAAGACUCACAUUGGCGCCAAACAAAACACCACCCUAAUAAUCGCGUUGGCGACAAACAGCGAUCGAUGGGUUCGGCUCCUCUACGAUCUAUUUGCCUUCGUCCUGCUCAUCUUCCCCGUUCCUCUUGUUCGUCCUUGUAAAAGAACAUGGCGGAGGUACGUUCAUCUGUGGUCUGUAGGUGGCGAGAUCAACUCCCUUUUGCCUUAUCUCUCUUCUGAUCAUCCCCCAUGUUCAGAGUGAAACCAAGGCAAGCUGAUCUGUAGGCGAUGAAGAUUAUCUCCCUUUUGUCUUCCUUCUACUAGCAACAAAAAAGAAGACAAUAAAUCAGAAGGUAUGUGACAUACACUCUGAUUGUAUUCAUGUUCUGAAGGCACACAAUUCGUAGAUUGAGUUCGUGAUGCUACUAUUUUCUGAAUGGAGGAUGAUAAGGACAAGAUGAAAAACUUAUUUUCUGCAUCUUUUAGAGUAUGUCAGAGUGAAAAGAAAUAAUUUUAAUAGAAGUGAUCUCUAUUGUUUUGGACAAGCUCAAGAUAAAAUGCAUGAAUGUAUCCAAAUAUUUACUUGUAACACAGGUGAUUUGCUCAUCAAGUACCUGGGAUUUCCAAAACAUGACAGGAGAUUAAUGCAGACGAUCUCUCUUUUGUUGUCCUUCUCCUAGCAACAAAAAAGAAGACGAUCAUUCUUAAGGUAUGUGACACAUGUUCUGAUUGUAUUAAUGUUCUCAAGGCAGCAAGGGAAUUUUUGGACUGAGUUUGCUAUUAUAUCACAGAUUACACAAAAAGGGGAAGAGAAGGUCCAAUGGAGAAUAUGACUACCUCUAAUGAGGAUGCUAACAGGUACCGACAAUUUUGUUAAAUUCUCAGGUCAUAUCAUCUUAUGAUUGUAGUGUAAGCAUACAAACAAAUAAGUUAUGUGUAAUUUUUAUAGGACAAAUGUGGUUCCUAGUUGGAUGCCUCAGAUUGGUAUGAAAUUUAAUUCCACAAAAGAGGCUUGGAACUUUUGGACAUGUUAUGGAGGUCAUAUUGGUUUUGAUGUAAGGAUAAAUUAUGAAAACAAGAGCAAACUCGAUGGAGUAAUCACUUCAGCAAGAUAUGUUUGUUCCAAUGAGGGCUACAGAAGAAAAGACAAAAGGGAUAAUAAUACAAAGCGUCCUCGUGCAGAAACAAGGACCGGCUGCAAUGUUCGAAUGGGAAUCACUAUAGACCGAGAAACAGGAAACUAUGAGGUGCAUGAGUUAGUUGUUGAACACAACCAUGUGUUGCAAUUACCUGGGACAAGCCACUUGAUGCCAUCACAGAGGAAAAUUUCGGCCUUGCAAGCAUUUGAAAUUGAAACAGCAGAUGAUUCAGGAAUUGUACCUAGAAAAGCCCAUGAGUUAGCAAGUCGACAAGUUGGUGGUCCACUGAACCUUGGCUACACAUGUCGUGAUCGCAAGAACCACUUGCGAACCAGACGUCAAAGAGACUUGAUGUAUGGUGAAGCUAGAAGUAUGCUCAAGUAUUUUAGAGAUAAAAAGAAUGAGAAUCCUGCAUUUGAAUAUGACAUGCAACUAGAUUGUGAUGAAAAUAUAGCAAAUAUCUUUUGGGCUGAUGCAAGGAUGAUCAUUGACUAUGCUCAUUUCGGUGAUGUUGUUACCUUCGAUACAACAUUUGGGACAAACAAAGAGUACAGACCCUUCGGUGUGUUUGUUGGCUUCAACCAUUUUAGAGAAAUGGUCAUUUUUGGUGCUGCACUUUUAUAUGAUGAGACAUUUGAAUCAUUCAAAUGGUUGUUCAACACGUUCCUAUCAGUGCAUAACAAAAAGCAACCUAGAACAAUAUUUACUGAUCAAGAUGUAGCAAUGGGUAAUGCAAUUCGGGCAGUAUUUAUGGAAGCAUGGCAUGGGUUGUGCACUUUUCACAUAAUGCAAAAUGCCAUCAGACACUUACCUCAUAAGAAAAAAGACAAGGAAGGACUAAAUGUACUUGCUGAUUUCAGUGCUUGCAUGUACAAGUAUGAGGAAGAGGAAGCCUUUGAAGAAGCUUUCAAUGCCAUAAGAAGCAAUGUGGAAACACAAACUUGGUUGG